rnacentral:rRNA from 1 species
GACGAAUGCUGGCGGCGUGCUUAACACAUGCAAGUCGAACGGUAAGGCCCUUCGGGGUACACGAGUGGCGAACGGGUGAGUAACACGUGGGUGAUCUGCCCUGCACUUCGGGAUAAGCCUGGGAAACUGGGUCUAAUACCGGAUAGGACUCCUGCCUGCAUGGGUGGGGGUGGAAAGCUUUUGCGGUGUGGGAUGGGCCCGCGGCCUGUCAGCUUGUUGGUGGGGUGAUGGCCUACCAAGGCGACGACGGGUAGCCGGCCUGAGAGGGUGACCGGCCACACUGGGACUGAGAUACGGCCCAGACUCCUACGGGAGGCAGCAGUGGGGAAUAUUGCACAAUGGGCGCAAGCCUGAUGCAGCGACGCCGCGUGAGGGAAGACGGCCUUCGGGUUGUAAACCUCUUUCAGCACAGACGAAGCGCAAGUGACGGUAUGUGCAGAAGAAGGGCCGGCCAACUACGUGCCAGCAGCCGCCGUAA